GCAGUUGUGGCUCAGUGGUAGAGCACUUGUCUAGUAUGUGUGAGGCUGAGUUCUAUCCUCAGCACUGCA
rnacentral:tRNA from 1 species